rnacentral:rRNA from 1 species
AUUGAACGCUAGCGGGAUGCUUUACACAUGAAAGUCGAACGAGUGGCGGACGGGGGAGUAAUAUAUCGGAACGUGCCCAGUAGAGGGGGAUAACUAAUCGAAAGAGUGGCUCAUACCGCAUACUAUUGUAGCGUCCGUUAUCGGAUUAGCUAGGUGGUGGGGUAAAGGCUCACCAAGGCAACGAUCCGUAGUUGGUGUGAGAGGACGACCAGCCACGCUGGGACUGAGACCAGGCCCAGACUCCUACGGGAGGCAGCAGUGGGGAAUUUUGGACAAUGGGGGAAACCCGGAUCCAGCCAUCCCGCGUGUAUGAGAAGGCCUUCGGGUUGUAAAGUACUUUUGGCAGAGAAGCGGUAUCUGCAGAAUAAGCACCGGCUAACUACGUGCCAGCAGCCGCGGUAAUAC